UACGUAGGGUGCGAGCGUUAAUCGGAAUUACUGGGCGUAAAGCGUGCGCAGGCGGUUCGUUGUGUCGGCGGUGAAAGCCCCGGGCUCAACCUGGGAAUGGCCGUUGAAACUGGCGAACUGGAGUGUGGCAGAGGGGGGUGGAAUUCCGCGUGUAGCAGUGAAAUGCGUAGAUAUUGGGAGGAACACCAGUGGCGAAGGCGGCUCACUGGACCGGUUCUGACGCUGAGGCGCGAAAGCGUGGGGAGCAAACGGG
rnacentral:rRNA from 1 species